UAUUGUGUGUGACGAGAUGCAAGUAGCGUACCUGUUUGGGAGUUGCCCACUUAUAUCGUUUGUUGCUGGAAUUGGAAAGAGGAGAAAGAAAGAUGAAGUAGAUAGAAUCUAUUGUAAUGUGAAAAGUAAACAAACGGAUUAUUCAGAAAGUGAAAGUUAUUGCUACUAUUUUCGGUGCAUUAAGAAAUUAUUAGAAGUGAGGAGGUAAAUUCUUGCGUAUACUGAACUCUAUAUUUGGGACAAAGUAAGGAAGAUUAAGUGCUUACAGUUAAAUUUAAUAAAAUAAUAAAAUUGUAUUUAAGGUUUCCAGUGCUAGAAUUGUCCGCGAAGAUUAAGACCUGGAAUAGAAAAGAAUAAUUAUUCAUGGUUGUUAACUGAACGGAUUAAUAUUAGCAAAAGGACAGAGGAAGUUUGCUGGAAAGAGGUUCGCUCUACGGAAACGGUUAUUGUGCGAAAGGGGAGUGUAGAACCAAACGUUUUUUAGCUGCUACCGAAAAAUAGGACUGCUCAAAAAAUUGGUUUGAAUCCGAACAAACUAAAAAACGUUUGCACCUGAGUCGGAUUUACCUUUGUCGCACCAUGACGGAUCCAAAUGCGAAAAUCCUUGACCUCAC